AGCUGGUCUGGAGACAGUGAGUUAUUUCAAGUGAUUGUUCAUAAUCAGUUACAGAUUGAACUCCUUGCUCUACUCUUCCCUCCCUUCUCGCUACUGCACUUGACUACUCUUGA
rnacentral:Y_RNA from 1 species